rnacentral:ncRNA from 2 species
ACUCUCAAGGAGCGCUGCAGCGCCACCCCGACGCGCUUGUGUCGGGGCCGGUGUCAGGCUUGAGAGUCCGGGCUUUCAUCGCCCUGCCGGCCAGACCGGCCCCAACGGCGCUCACCAGUU